AGAAAGCACAGUGAGCUGGGCAUGGUGGCAUCUGCCUGUAAUCACAGGACUGAGGAUGCAGAGGUGCUCGGGAUCAGUCCAGGGCCUCAUGCUCAUGUGCGCCAGGCAAGCUUUUCCACCUACUCACACAACCAGAUCAAGAUGUAGAACUCUCAACUCCUUCUCCAGUACCACGUCUGCCUGCAUGCCACCAUGCUUCUCACCAUGACAAUAAUGGAUUAAACCACUGAACUGUAAGCAAGUCCCAAAUAAAUGUUUUCCUUUGUAAGA